UACGUAGGGUGCAAGCGUUGUCCGGAAUUUAUUGGGCGUAAAGCGUCUGUAGGUGGCUUUUUUAAGUCCGCCGUCAAAUCCCAGGGCUCAACCCUGGACAGGGCGGUGGAAACUACCAAGCUGGAGUACGGUAGGGGCAGAGGGAAUUUCCGGUGGAGCGGGUGAAAUGCGUAGAGAUCGGAAAGAACACCAACGGCGAAAAGCACUCUGCUGGGCCGACACUGACACUGAGAGACGAAAGCUAGGGGAGCGAAUGGG
rnacentral:rRNA from 1 species